GGAUUCCCUAAGUAAUGGCGAAUGAACAGGGAAGAGCUCAGAAUGAAAAUCGGGGCCUAUGGCUUUGAAUUGUAGUCUUGAGAUGUACUGCCAGCGGAGGCGCAGAUGUAAGCCUCUUGGAAAAGAGCAUCAACGAGGGUGAGAGUCCCGUUUGUCAUCUGCAGCCCCCCGUGUACGGUGCAUGUUCUGAGAGUCACGUUCCUCGGGAUUGGAGCGCAAAUUGGGUGGUAAAUUUCAUCUGAAGCUAAAUAUUGGUUCGAGACCGAUAGCAAACAAGUACCAUGAGGGAAAGGUGAAAAGGACUUUGAAAAGAGAGUUAAAAGUGCCUGAAAUUGCUGAAAGGGAAGCGAAUGGAACCAGCUUUGCUUGGCGAGAUUGUUGCUUGCUAUGGUUAUGGCUUGCUAUGGGUAACGCAAGUGCCCUAGCUUGCUUUCAACUUGAUGCAUGCGGUGGUUCUUGCCUUGUGUGUCAGCGCUGGUGCAGACCUGAUGAAAACUGCAGGGACAAGGUAGCUCGUCUCCGGGUGAGUGAAUGUCUCUGUCGGAAAUCACGUGUGCACUGGAUUUGGCGUGCCUCUUUUGGUGAGCCACAAGAUUGAUGACUAAAUGGUUCUAUCCGACCCGUCUUGAAACACG
rnacentral:rRNA from 1 species